AGUGAACGCUGGCGGUAGGCCUAACACAUGCCAGUCGAACGGCAGCACAGUAAGAGCUUGCUCUUACGGGUGGCGAGUGGCGGACGAGUGAGGAAUACAUCGGAAUCUACUUUUUCGUGGGGGAUAACGUAGGGAAACUUACGCUAAUACCGCAUACGACCUACGGGUGAAAGCAGGGGAUCUUCGGACCUUGCGCGAUUGAAUGAGCCGAUGUCGGAUUAGCUAGUUGGCGGGGUAAAGGCCCACCAAGGCGACGAUCCGUAGCUGGUCUGAGAGGAUGAUCAGCCACACUGGAACUGGAACACGGUCCAGACUCCUAUGGGAGGCAGCAGUGGGGAAUAUUGGACAAUGGGCGCAAGCCUGAUCCAGCCAUACCGCGUGGGUGAAGAAGGCCUUCGGGUUGUAAAGCCCUUUUGUUGGGAAAGAAAAGCAGCAGGUUAAUACCCCGCUGUUCUGACGGUACCCAAAGAAUAAGCACCGGCUAACUUCGUG
rnacentral:rRNA from 1 species